rnacentral:lncRNA from 1 species
UAAAUACAGGCAAUCAGUGCUGUUAGCUGGCUACAUUUACUUAGGACACUGGGAUGCCAUUCUCUGACAAUUUAUAAAACACAUUUCAGAUUAUUUGUGGGGAAAAACGUGUACAUAUGCACAUGUGACAUGCUCCACAAAAGUGUGAAGAGUCUUACCUGGUUAUUCUUCACUACAAAUUAGUGUUGUUGCUUGGCUGAUGCACCUUGCUAAAUAUCUUACAAGGUGUGGGGAUGUUCUGUGUUCCAGGCCAUUUCACCAGCUCCAUCUCCUGAUAAGCUUGCUAACAUCUGUUCUCAAGCUGACAUUUAUUUUAUUUCCUAUGCUAUCCUUGAGGUAA